UACGAAGGGGGCUAGCGUUGCUCGGAAUCACUGGGCGUAAAGCGCACGUAGGCGGACUUUUAAGUCGGAGGUGAAAUCCUGGAGCUCAACUCCAGAACGUGCCUUCGAUACUGAGAGUCUUCGAGUUCGGGAGAGGUGAGUGGAACUGCGAGUGUAGAGGUGAAAUUCGUAGAUAUUGCAAGAACACCAGUGGCGAAGGCGGCUCACUGGCC
rnacentral:rRNA from 1 species